AUUCUGUACAAGAUCCUGAAUGUGAAGUGAAUCAAUAAAUGGUCGGUUGACUGGAUCAUCCCUACUGGUCAUCUACAAAGCAUCAAUAAAACAAACUCAUCUUUGAUCGCCCAGACAGACGUGAUGUAUCCACAGUGAAAUGAGCAAGGUCUUGAGUUGGGUGGCACGUGGAAGAUGUGUAAUGCAUCACUCUCCCAUCUGGGCUCCAUACAUCGACAGUGGCAUGCAGAGGGGACAAGGGUGAGGCGAGGUCUGGAGAUCAAGCAGGCCUUUGCCAUAUUUGAAGAGUCAGUGGCUGCUUGGUACAAAAGAGAAAAGACUCUGUGGAGAGGGUAUGAAGCUGUCUCAAAGUGGAUCUGGGGAAGAAGGCAGAACCAUCCUUAAUGGAGAGAAGACUUCGUGUCAGUAUCAGGCGAUAGUUCCUUAGGAAUCCAGGUUGACAGACACUCUACCAUCACUGAGCUGACUCACCGGGAACCCAGGACCUCCAGGACCCCUGUAACAAGAGAAGAGAAGGCAUGGAGGGAGGACACGGACUCCUGAAUGCUUCAGCUCACUAGUGAUAUCACCUCAUUUCUGCUCUCAGCGCCUUUGCCAGAACCAGUCACCUGGCCUCCAUCUAACCAACAGGGAGGCUGGGAAAUGAGGAAGAACCAUUUGAUUAUUAUCAGUGAACAAUAAAUAUCUAAAUGUC